UCUGUGGUAUGGCAUAAGUACAGAGAAGACAUCACCACAGA
rfam:Ailuropoda melanoleuca scaffold302_145, whole genome shotgun sequence.